AUACGGAGGGUGCGAGCGUUGUUCGGAAUUAUUGGGCGUAAAGAGCAUGUAGGCGGUCUGUUAAGUCUGGUGUGAAAGCCCGGGGCUCAACCCCGGAAGUGCAUUGGAUACUGGCAGACUUGAGUAUGGGAGAGGAAAGCGGAAUUCCGAGUGUAGGAGUGAAAUCCGUAGAUAUUCGGAGGAACCCCAGUGGCGAAGGCGGCUUUCUGGACCAAUACUGACGCUGAGACGCGAAAGCGUGGGGAGCGAACAGGAUUAGAUACCCCGGUAGUCC
rnacentral:rRNA from 1 species